rnacentral:tRNA from 1 species
CCCCGCGUGGACCGGCAGAUGAUCCGGCCCUCCGGGAGUCGGGGCGUCCGGUUCCGCAACCGGUCUCGGGGA